UCAAGGAGGAAAUUUUGACGUGUACUUGAAGAAUAAGCAUCGGCUAACUCUGUGCCAGCAGCCGCGGUAAGACAGAGGAUGCAAGUGUUAUCCGGAAUUACUGGGCGUAAAGCGUCUGUAGGUGGUUUAGUAAGUCAAUUGUUAAAUCUUGAGGCUUAACUUCAAAACAGCAAUUGAAACUAUUAGACUCGAGUAUGGUAGAGGUAAAAGGAAUUUUCAGUGGAGCGGUGAAAUGCGUAGAUAUUGG
rnacentral:rRNA from 1 species